AGGCGGAACUAUCUCUGCAAGUCCAAGAAAGCUGGUACUGACAAUGUUGUAGCUGAACCGGAUACCCCACAAUAGUCUCCAGCCUUGAGGAAGCAGCUCUACCUCUCUCUAUCUUGGACAAAAUGAAUUUUAAGAGAUCACCUUGAGUGUUUAGAUCCUGUUUCCCAAGCAAACAUUUUCAGCAGUCUUUGAGGACAAUCUUCAGCAAAAUGAGAGAACAGACCAAGAAAAAGAAAAGCAUGAACUCAAGUGUAUCCAAACCAGGAGCCCAGCUGAAGGAAGUCCCAGAAGGGCAGCUACCCAGCAGGCUCACAGAGCGACUGGCACAGAUGGGAGCAAGAAGGGCCCUCUUUUUCCGUAUCCUGUGAUUUUUAAAAGCAUAUGCUUGUAUUAUCUGAAAUACUUCAGUUAAAAAAAAAAAACACCAGCAUACUUCAUGUUACAAACUUUCUU